GACGAACGCUGGCGGCGUGCUUAACACAUGCAAGUCGACGACGCUACUGAGUAGCAAUAUUUAGUAGUGGAGUGGCGCAAGGGUGAGUAAUGUAUACGUAACCAACCCAUCGGAGACGGAUAACAUUUCGAAAGGGAUGCUAAAACGGCAUGAAGCCACGAUUUCGCAUGAGAUUGUGGUUAAAGAACCGGUAACAGGUUGCCGAUGGCUGGGCGUAUAUCCGAUUAGCUAGUUGGUAGUGUAAUGGACUACCAAGGCGACGAUCGGUAGCUGGUCUGAGGGGAUGAUCAGCCACACUGGAACUGAGACACGGGCCAGACUCCUACGGGAGGCAGCAGUGGGGAAUAUUGGGCAAUGCCCGCAAGGGUGACCCAGCAACGCCGCGUGGAGAAUGAAGGCCGUAAGGUUGUAAACUCUGACAAGCAGGGAAGAACGGCUAUGGUAAAAGGCCAUAGAAUGACGGUACCUGCCUGAAGCCCCGGCUAACUACGUG
rnacentral:rRNA from 1 species